rnacentral:rRNA from 1 species
GGCUCACCAAGGCGAUGAUGGGUAGCCGGCCUGAGAGGGUGAUCGGCCACAAGGGGACUGAGACACGGCCCUUACUCCUACGGGAGGCAGCAGUGGGGAAUAUUGGACAAUGGACCGAGAGUCUGAUCCAGCAAUUCUGUGUGCACGAUGAAGUUUUUCGGAAUGUAAAGUGCUUUCAGUUGGGAAGAAAUAAAUGACGGUACCAACAGAAGAAGUGACGGCUAAAUACGUGCCAGCAGCCGCGGUAAUACGUAUGUCACGAGCGUUAUCCGGAUUUAUUGGGCGUAAAGCGCGUCUAGGUGGUUAUAUAAGUCUGAUGUGAAAAUGCAGGGCUCAACUCUGUAUUGCGUUGGAAACUGUAUAACUAGAGUACUGGAGAGGUAAGCGGAACUACAAGUGUAGAGGUGAAAUUCGUAGAUAUUUGUAGGAAUGCCGAUGGGGAAGCCAGCUUACUGGACAGAUACUGACGCUGAAGCGCGAAAGCGUGGGUAGCAAACAGGAUUAGAUACCCUGGUAGUCCACGCUGUAAACGAUGAUUACUAGGUGUUGGGGGUCGAACCUCAGCGCCCAAGCAAACGCGAUAAGUAAUCCGCCUGGGGAGUACGUACGCAAGUAUGAAACUCAAAGGAAUUGACGGC